rnacentral:rRNA from 1 species
AGAGUUUGAUCCUGGCUCAGAAUGAACGUUGGCGGCGUGGAUUAGGCAUGCGAGUCGCGCGAGAAUGUAGCAAUACAGGAAAGCGGCGAAAGGGAGAGGACAACAUGGGAAUCUGCCCGGGGGUCGAGGAUAGCGUCGGGAAACUGACGGUAAUACUCGAUAAUGUUUACGGACCAAAGGUUUACUGCCCCUGGAUGAGCCCAUGCCCCAUUAGCUAGUUGGCGGUGUAAUAGACCACCAAGGCGAUGAUGGGUAGCUGGUGUGAGAGCACGACCAGCCUCACUGGCACUGAGACACUGGCCAGACACCUACGGGUGGCUGCAGUCGAGAAUCUUCGGCAAUGGACGAAAGUCUGACCGAGCGACGCCGCGUGCGGGACGAAGGCCUUCGGGUUGUAAACCGCUGUCGAGGGGGAUUAAGGGCAACUUGAAAGAACCCUGGAGGAAGGAGAGGCUAAGCUCGUGCCAGCAGCCGCGGUAAGACGAGCUCUCCAAACGUUAUUCGGUAUCACUGGGCUUAAAGAGUUCGUAGGCGGCUUUACAGGUGGGGUGUGAAAGCCCUCGG